rnacentral:lncRNA from 1 species
GAUUAAACAUAUGCAAAGCCAGGGACUGUGACUUAAACUUUCUAAAGUGAAACUGAAUCUCUGUAAUAAAAUUUCACUUUCAUUGAGCCUUAAGGAAAAUUUCUCUUGGCCUCUUCUUCCACAGAUAAAUAUGUUUGAACAUGGAUGAAGGAGUAGUGAGGGGACACUGAGCCAAUCGGAACUGCAGUUCUUUCAGAUGUCAGAACGGAUGGAUCUAUAUAUCCUACAUCCUACAAGCAAUCACAGGGAAUCACAGGAAGACCAAAGAUUGGAAGUGCUGAUACCUGGAAAGAUACAUAUAAAUAACAGCACAUGCCAAAAGGUAUCUCUUUAGGUUGCAAUUCAUUUUUCAAACUCUUUUAUUAAUUAUUGCAUGAUGUUCCCAAUCCUUGGAACACUUCCUUUCCUCUUAUUAGUAUCAGCAGUAUAGACCUCUCAGAAAAUAUCAGCUGGAAGUCAGGAAGGAGUCCACUAGACUACCAAGACUAAGUUCCUCACUCUUUUCAAAGCACAAGGUAACAUUUUCAUGAAUACAUUCUUUAGCUAGAGAAGUAGCUUAAUGAUCCCACUUCCAUCUCAGUCUUUCAAGUUUUUCCUCCCUCUUUCUCUCCCAUCCAUACCCCCUUUUUAAAAGCACAGAUAAAAGUUUAAAGAAUGCCAUCCAAACUGAAUUCAUUGCUUUAAAAAAUCAUAUUUGAAUCAAAAAGUAGGAUUUGAAAGGUAAAAAAAUACAGUAUCUAAUAAAACCAAGUCAUUAAAACA